CAGCAUCAACAUAAUGCGGUCACCAGUGGGGAGUGUUUUGCCCCUGGCCCACUCAGCCCCAUAGAUGGCCGUGAUGAAGCCACUCCCAAGGAUGCCAGUGAUGCACUCUAUUCCGGAGACCACCAAAGUGAAGGUGACCUUGAACUUGGAUAUGUCUUUAUCUGUGGCAUCUGUGUUCACCGUUGCCAUUCUCUUUGAUCCUGACUUUCAGGUUUCUGCGCCAAGAAUGGGUAACUGCUCUGCAAUCUUCUGACCCUUGCUCAAUGUUAUAAUUUCUGCCGCCCUCAUUAAUGGUUAUUUCCAAUUUUUCUCCAUUUGUUUAUCACAUGACUACAAGUUAGAGGCUUCACAUGCAAAUAAUGAGAGGAUCUGGUUACUGGGUCUGUCUCAAUUUUUCAUAAAGAUACAUUUGUCUUGGGCUUUCAGAAGCUCACUGGAAAUAAUUUGAGACAUGUUUCUAGCUCAACACCUUCUUACCUUAUUUACUUUAAGUCCACAUUUACCUGAUAAGCAAUGAAUACAAGGCCUUUUUACUUGUCUCACAAGAUCUCUGUUACCUGCUAAAUUAUUUGUAAAAGCUCAUACAGCUUUUAAAAUCUGUUUUCCCCACUUCUUUUCUUGUCUCUCUUAUUUUGGGAGAGAGUUUUAUUUUGAUAGUUACCAUGUUUGUGAAUAAGAAAUUCCCAUAAGCUCAUAUAUGAACAUCUUUUACUUAGAAUUGAGUUUCUUCCAAAAAGGCCUGCUAUUAUAAUGUCCUCGAAUAGUAUAUAGAAAAGCCAAAAUUGGAUGCUAUUCGAGUUGGAGAGAAGGAAGUCUCCAUAGUCCCAGUUUUUAUUGUUUGUGUAUGUGUCAUCAAUUUCAGCUUACUGAGAUCCCACAUGACUAUUUGAGCUCAGAAUCAGGUAGAAUGAGCCUGGGGAGAAUUCAGUGUUCUGGACAUGGUGUUGAAGUUUGGAAAUGUGAUAAGGUACUAUGACUUGAAAUUUAAUUUCCUACUUUUUAACCCUGGCUGUGAACCAGAAUGAACUCUGGCACUUUACAAGAAUAUGUAGAUGCCCAGGACUCGUCCAAAUCUAGGAAAUCAGAACUGGACUAGGGCUCAGGCAUGCUAUCUUUUAAAAAAGCCGAAAGGUCUUGUUGCUCAUAGUCAGGAUUGAGAUCCAAAAUCUUAGCUGGAAACCAAUGAGCCUUGGGUCAGAUUUGGCCUGUAGUCAUUUUACCUUGCAUUGGUUAAUGCUGUACAGCAUUAAUCCACCAGUGUGUAACUUUUCUUUUUGAGGGGUUCUAUUGGCAAACAUUUAAACUUAGGAGAUUACUUAUAUGCAUGCACAAAAAAUCUAUCUUCUCUUGAAAAAUUAGAAGAUUUGGCAGUAUUGGGUCUUCAUAGUGAACUGGCUGAAGCUGAGUAAUGGCUGCCCAUUUUAAACAAGGUAUAUACUUUUCAGUUUGUUGACAAUACUAAUUCCUAGUGUCUUCUUGACACAGAAGCUGAGUGCCAGUUAUCAUUUUCCAGUGUGCUUACCCUGUUAUUUUUAUUUGAUUAUUUUUCUUUUUGAGACUGGGUCUCACUCUAUCACCCAGGCUGGAGUGCAGUGGUGUAAUCAUGGCUCACUGCAGCCUUGACCUCCAUAGCUCAGGUGAUCCCCACACUUCAGCCACCUGAGUAGCUGGGACUACAGAUGCAUGCCAACACACCUGGCUAAGUUUUGUAUUUUUUGUAGAGACAGAGUUUCGCCAUGUUGGCUAGGCUGAUCUUGAAUUCUUGGGCUCAAGCAAUCCUCCCAUCUCAGCCUCCGAAAA
rnacentral:lncRNA from 10 species